rnacentral:rRNA from 1 species
AGUGAACGCUGGCGGUAGGCCUAACACGUGCAAGUCGAACGGCAGCACAGUAAGAGCUUGCUCUUACGGGUGGCGAGUGGCGGACGGGUGAGGAAUACAUCGGAAUCUACUUUUUCGUGGGGGAUAACGUAGGGAAACUUACGCUAAUACCGCAUACGACCUACGGGUGAAAGCAGGGGAUCUUCGGACCUUGCGCGAUUGAAUGAGCCGAUGUCGGAUUAGCUAGUUGGCGGGGUAGAGGCCCACCAAGGCGACGAUCCGUAGCUGGUCUGAGAGGAUGAUCAGCCACACUGGAACUGAGACACGGUCCAGACUCCUACGGGAGGCAGCAGUGGGGAAUAUUGGACAAUGGGCGCAAGCCUGAUCCAGCCAUACCGCGUGGGUGAAGAAGGCCUUCGGGUUGUAAAGCCCUUUUGUUGGGAAAGAAAAGCAGCAGGUUAAUACCCCGCUGUUCUGACGGUACCCAAAGAAUAAGCACCGGCUAACUUCGUG